AUUGAACGCUGGCGGCAGGCCUAACACAUGCAAGUCGAGCGGAUGAAGGGAGCUUGCUCCUGGAUUCAGCGGCGGACGGGUGAGUAAUGCCUAGGAAUCUGCCUGGUAGUGGGGGAUAACGUCCGGAAACGGGCGCUAAUACCGCAUACGUCCUGAGGGAGAAAGGGGGGGAUCUUCGGACCUCACGCUAUCAGAUGAGCCUAGGUCGGAUUAGCUAGUUGGUGGGGUAAAGGCCUACCAAGGCGACGAUCCGUAACUGGUCUGAGAGGAUGAUCAGACACACUGUAACUGAGACACGGUCCAGACUCCUACGGGAGGCAGCAGUGGGGAAUAUUGGACAAAGGGCGCAAGCCUGAUCCAGCCAUGCCGCGUGGGUGAAGAAGGCCUUCGGAUUGUAAAGCCCUUUGAGUUGGGAGGAAGGGCAGCAGGUUAAUACCUUGCUGUUCUGACGUUACCCAAAGAAUAAGCACCGGCUAACUUCGUG
rnacentral:rRNA from 1 species